rnacentral:rRNA from 1 species
CAUGGGGGAAACCCUGAUGCAGCCAUGCCGCGUGUGUGAAGAAGGCCUUCGGGUUGUAAAGCACUUUCAGUAGGGAGGAAAGGUAGCAGCUUAAUACGCUGUUGCUGUGACGUUACCUACAGAAGAAGGACCGGCUAACUCCGUGCCAGCAGCCGCGGUAAUACGGAGGGUCCGAGCGUUAAUCGGAAUUACUGGGCGUAAAGCGUGCGCAGGCGGUUUGUUAAGCGAGAUGUGAAAGCCCCGGGCUCAACCUGGGAAUUGCAUUUCGAACUGGCGAACUAGAGUCUUGUAGAGGGGGGUAGAAUUCCAGGUGUAGCGGUGAAAUGCGUAGAGAUCUGGAGGAAUACCGGUGGCGAAGGCGGCCCCCUGGACAAAGACUGACGCUCAGGCACGAAAGCGUGGGGAGCAAACAGGAUUAGAUACCCUGGUAGUCCACGCCGUAAACGAUGUCUACUCGGAGUUUGGUGUCCUUGAACACUGGGCUCUCAAGCUAACGCAUUAAGUAGACCGCCUGGGGAGUACGGCCGCAAAGUUUGGAUCCGAA